rnacentral:tRNA from 1 species
GGGGCCAUAGCUCAGCAGGGAGAGCACUACGCUGGCAGUGUAGAGGUCGGCGGUUCGAUCCCGCCUGGCUCCA